GAUGUUGAAUUUGGAAAUUGGAGGGGACGCUGGUGGACGGAUUGGGUGCAAGGAGUUGGUGUUGAUGGAGGAGCAGGACGCCAGAGUCCCAGCCCUGGAACCGUUCAGAGUGGAGCAGGCACCACCUGUAAUCUACUAUGUCCCUGACUUCAUCUCCAAAGAAGAGGAGGAGUAUUUGCUUCGACAGGUUUUUAAUGCCCCAAAGCCAAAGUGGACCCAGCUCUCUGGGAGAAAGUUACAGAACUGGGGUAAGUAUCCCUGGCUGGGGGCAGGAGUGAUUCUGGGAUGUAGGCUGGGGCAGGGGACUCAGGUCCAAUAGACUUAAGACAUCAGAGGGUCCCUGAUAGCUCAAGGGGCCCCAAGAGCCAGGAGGAUUCUGAAGGGGUCAGUGGAGGUCCUGAGGGAUUAGGGAUUUCCUGAUGAGUUGGGAGUAUCUGAAAGGGACCUGUGGUCUGGAGAAGUGAGGAAACCU
rnacentral:sRNA from 1 species